ACUCCUACGGGAGGCAGCAGUGGGAAUAUUGGACAAUGGGGGAACCCGUGAUCCAGCCAUGCCGCGUGUGUGAAGAAGGCCUUAUGGUUGUAAAGCACUUUAAGCGAGGAGGAGGCUACUGAGUAUUAAUACUACUGGAUUAGUUGGACGUUACUCGCAGAAUAAGCACCGGCUAACUCUGUGCCAGCAGCCGCGGUAAUACAGAGGGUGCGAGCGUUAAUCGGAUUUACUGGGCGUAAAGCGUGCGUAGGCGGCCA
rnacentral:rRNA from 1 species